CGACCGGCGCACGGGUGAGUAACGCGUAUGCAACCUGCCCGUUUCAGCGGGAUAACCCGGAGAAAUCCGGCCUAAUACCGCAUGUGGCCGAGGGGAGGCAUCUUCUUUCGGCCAAAGGAGGCGACUCCGGAGACGGAUGGGCAUGCGUGACAUUAGCUAGUUGGCGGGGUAACGGCCCACCUAACCGACGAUGCGUAGGGGUUCUGAGAGGAAGGUCCCCCACACUGGUACUGAGACACGGACCAGACUCCUACGGGAGGCAGCAG
rnacentral:rRNA from 1 species